rnacentral:lncRNA from 1 species
AGCAGCUGCAGACGCUGCCCGGCGCGGUGGGGCUGUGAGCAAAACGGCCCGCCGGUGUGGUUGCCCAGACUGUGCUGGGCCCUCCUAGGUGGAUGGCCCUGCCCCAGCCUAACUUCUGUACCCCAGCAUAACCUCCAAAGUAACAGCCGUGCCCUGGGAGCCUGUUCAACACUGAACAUAUCCCACAAUAACACUGUUCCAGCGUCGCUGGUAAAAAGCAGAAAUGGCUUCGAUGUUUCUGGAUGAGAUUAGCAUUCAAAUUCGUGGACUCAUUAAAGUAGAUGGCUCUCUCCAAUAUGGGUGGGCAUCAUCCAAUCUGUUGAAGGCGUGAAGAGAACAAGAGAAGGAGGAAGGAAGAAUUCACCUUUUUUCUUGCUGCCCACCUGCUUGGGCUGGGACAUUGCAUCUCACCUUCUCCAGCCUUUGGAUGAGGAUUUACACCCUGGUUCUCAGGCCUUCAGGCUCUAACUGGAGCUACACUAUCAACUUUCCUGGGCCUCCAGAUUGCAGAUGGUGGAUCACGGUACUUUUUAGCCUCCAUCAUAAUAUGAGAAAAAAGAGGCACAGUGAAGCUAAAUAUAUUGGCUAAAGAUCACAAAGCUAAGUUGAAAUUUUUCAAGAUGAAAAGUUGCUAAAGAAAGAGAAAGGGAAGCGGUUUGCUCCAGUAUUCCUCUUUCCACCUUCCCACUGACUGGGAAGCGGCGGUUAGCAGAGCCACAGUCUUGGAUUAGAGAUAAGAGGGACAUGUUGAGGAAGGUGGAGUCUCCCCCACAGCCCUGGACCAGGCUCCAGUGCCAACAAAAGCCAAGAAGAACCUCUGGAGCAAUCAGUCUAAAUUAGUUGAUAACGUCUUCCAGGAGACCUACGGCCAUCCUACUGAUAUGAACCAGAUCAUACCUGCCCUGAUGGGAUGCCAGAGAAAGACUGCUGCAAGGGAUCCUCUGGAAACAGAACAGAGGGAAGAAGAUACCUUCCCUGAAGCCCAGAUGUUCCAGAAGCCUGCGCCUCAUUCACAAAGUCACCCCAAAAAUGCCCUAGAGUUUGGAGUUUUGAAGAAGCGGGAAGAAGGCCUGAGUAAGGGCCUGGGAACCAAGUUAGAUCCUACUUCAGCAUCAGCACAUGCCAGCGAUGGUGCACACAGGUGGAGAGCGGCCUGCCCGUCUUUUCCAUGGUGCCCACAGACCCAUUUAGGAUGAAAGAUCAGAAAAUUCUCUCCAUGUCACCGCUUCUGAAACAUGUGAAUAUUAAUAUUUGGUGCCUAAAAGGCCAUGGCAAAUUUUCAUUGGUUUUAUCUUAUUCAUGAUUAUAGAGUUGAAAGAAUACAUAUUCCCAUGGGGAUCAAUGAAGACAUUCUCAUUUUGAAUGAAGUAGAAUAUAAGUUGUAAAGAUAUAGAAUUUUCCUGAACUGAACCUUGAACCAAAAAUCCCCUCAAUUAACCUGGAACUAAACACAGUCCCUGAAGAUAACAAGGAGUUUCAGGAUGCCACAGGGCUGUCUGUGCAGUAUGGGGCUUCUUGCUCUAUCUCUGGUAUCUGAGGCAGAUAGGCUACUCAGGCCCCUCUCUGGUCUCAAGGUGGGCUGGCUGAGAUGUCAGUUUCUUCCUCAGUGACAGCUUGGGUACAGUAUGUGUAAACUGAUUGUCAGCUGAGCUGAAGGGACUCUGCCCAUAUUGGAGUGUUCUACAAGAAGAGGUGUCAAACCUAAAGGUCUAAAAUUACUAUGAAAGGAGUAUUGGAAACCACUGGGACAAUUGUGAUCACAACUGGUGGUAGCCUUCUCGUUUGGGUGAGAAAGACAGAAAGGAGGAAGAUGUGUUAGUCAAGGUUCUCUAGAGGGACAAAACUAAUAGGAUAUAUGUAUAUAUGAGAGGGAGUUUAUUAAGGAGAAUUGACUCACUUGAUCACAAGGUAAAGUCCCAAGAUAGGCUGUCUGCAAGUUGAGGAGCAAGGAAGUCAUUGGUGGAUUGUUCUGGGUACCAAAACCUCAAAAGUAGGGAAAUCGACAGUGCAGCCUUCAGUCUGUGGUCAAAGGCUCGAGGGGCCCUGGCAGACCACUGGUGUAAGUCCAAGAGUCCCAGAAGCUGAAGAACUUGGAGUCUGAUGUUUGAGGGCAGGAAGCAUCCAGCACAGGAGAAAGACGGAUGCUGGAAGACUUAGCAAGUCUGUUCUUUCCAAUUUCUUCUGCCUGCUUUUAUUCUAGCCAUGCUGGCAGCUGAUUAGAUGGUGCCCUCCCAAAUUGAGGGUGGCUGUGCCUCUCCCAGUCCACUGACUCAAAUGUUAAUCUCCUUUGGCAACACCCUCACAGACACACCCAGGAACAAUACUUUGCAUCCUUCAUUCCAAUCAAGUUGACACUCAAUAUUAACCAUCACAGAAGGAGAAUUUCAGGCUGAGUCCAAACACUAUGGCCCCAGCCCCAGCUUCCCCUUUCUGGGUUGAAUAACCAGACUGAGCCUAAGAAAAGGAAAAGAGUUGACUUUCUCCCAAAAGGCCUGCAGCGGGUUAGAAAGCAAUGGUUUGGGGACCAUACUGAGUGCCUAGGAUGCUCUGGACCACAAAGCUUGAAGUCAAAUUGUUCAUGCACUUGUUUCAUGAUAGGAAGAGAGAGAGAGAGAGAGAGAGAGAGAGAGAAAUUUCCUUUCCUUGAAGAAUGGCAAAACACGUCUCUUGUUCUGGGGGCUAUAUCUUGAAGGGUAUCUGAUCUCCCCCUCAUGGGAGGAACUAGAAUGCCCUAAGGCAGCCGUGGCUCCUGGAGCUGAGAGAUCUUUCUGACACUUUGUGAGAGCUGCAAGGCUAAGUCUGGAGCCAGAAAAGUCCAUGUGGACAAGUGCAGAGCAAGCAGAUCUGAGACACAUGUGGGAGCAAGCUGGACAUGUCCAAAAGUCAGAGGAAGCAAGAGCAGACAUGCAUGAGCAGGCAGAUGAGGCUGGUGCCCAGGCAGCAGGCUGAGGCUCUGGCUGGGCUUUGGAUGCUCCUGAGAGUCCAGUUAGAGACCAGUGAGCAAACCCACAGUGAACUCUUAUUCCUCACGCAGCAGGACGAGGGAUUAAGCACAAAGCCUUAAAGGUCUGAGUGUCUCUUUAUCCUGACCUCAGGAAAGAGAGGCAAGUAUCAUGUUUCUAAAAGUCUGAGAAGUCUUCACAUGACAGCCUACACCAAAAGAACUCAAAUGCACAUCCACUGCAUACACGCAUGUGUGCACACAUAUACAUGUGUACACAUGCAUGCCCACACACAACCCUCUGGAAGAGGAAGUAAAGAGACUUUAUGUUUUCAGCCCCUCUUGAGGAAACUUAAACUAAGUCUUUCUGUGGGGUUAGUGGUGGAGACAGAGAGGGUCUGGGGUCACCGAGGCCGAGGUGGCUGGACCCAGAGGGUAGAGCUGAGGGGAUCCCCUGAGACUGGGAAGAUGGAGCAGAAGCAGAUGGCAGAUGGCAGCAGGUGAGAGCAGACUGGAUUUCUCCUAAAUCACCAGAUCCAGCCAACCUUUCUUUCCUUAGGGACACCUCUAGAUCCCAUUCCAAAUGAACUCUUUCUCUGACCUUUCACCUCAAUUCAGAAUUUGGGAAAUUUAGCCAUGAUCUUAGGAACACAGAGGCUUGAAACAAUCUUUUCUAACCACCCGUUUGUUCAGACUGUGUAAGUUCUGCUUCUGCAUCCAGUGUCAACACCCAAGAACCAUUUUAAAGGGGAGCCAUCCUUUGAAAUUAAACUUCUUUUAAUAAUAAAGACAGAUUUCAGGGUUGACAUAAAAGAUAGCCACAGUAAAGCCAAUCCUCCAGUGUAUAACAUUUUUCAAAGUUUCCUUCCUCUUCAUUGCUGGUGUUCAUGUACAGUCCAGAGUUAGUCUACAUUAAAUUAUAGAUUGUUUUCAGCAAUAAUGCAAACAUUUGGAAGCCUUCAAACUCUCUGAUAACUAACUUCUACAUUCUCUCUGCUAUUAUUAUAUAGAAAGGGAAAUUUUACCUGAUGCUGUUAAAGUCCUCACGAACAUAGUGAUCCGAAUUGGCUGAAGUGGAAAACUAAAUGUUAGCUGAUUUUCAAAACAAGAUUUCCACUCUGAAUUCCCAUUUUUCACAUGUGAUCAUAUGCCUUGUUGUGAAGUUGAACUAAAAAGAAACUCCAUGCCCACUGGCUUAAUGCUAGAAGAUAAUCUACAGCAUAGUAAUUUCUUAGACUUCACUUUAUUAGCCACUAAACUUGGAAUGAUUAUUUCUAUGUUCAAUUAUUAAGUCUAUAUCUCCAUUUCUUAAAAAGGUCUGAGGCAGCCCCUUUGAAUAUUAAUACGCAUUUAUUUUCACCUCUCAAAUAAAA